rnacentral:rRNA from 1 species
UGAACGACUGCUAAGACUGGAUAGGAGACAAGAAGGCAUCUUUUUGUUUUUAAAAGACCUAGCAAUAGGUAUGCUUAGGGAGGAGCUUGCGUCACAUUAGUUAGUUGGUGGGGUAAAGGCUUACCAAGACUAUGAUGUGUAGCCGGGCUGAGAGGUUGAACGGCCACAUUGGGACUGAGACACGGCCCAAACUCCUACGGGAGGCAGCAGUAGGGAAUUUUCGGCAAUGGAGGAAACUCUGACCGAGCAACGCCGCGUGAACGAUGAAGUAUUUCGGUACGUAAAGUUCUUUUAUUAGGGAAGAAUAAAUGAUGGAAAAAUCAUUCUGACGGUACCUAAUGAAUAAGCCCCGGCUAACUAUGUGCCAGCAGCCGCGGUAAUACAUAGGGGGCAAGCGUUAUCCGGAAUUAUUGGGCGUAAAGGGUGCGUAGGCGGUUAAAUAAGUUUAUGGUCUAAGUGCAAUGCUUAACAUUGUGAUGCUAUAAAAACUGUUUAGCUAGAGUAAGAUAGAGGCAAGUGGAAUUCCAUGUGUAGUGGUAAAAUGCGUAAAUAUAUGGAGGAACACCAGUAGCGAAGGCGGCUUGCUGGGUCUUUACUGACGCUGAGGCACGAAAGCGUGGGGAGCAAACAGGAUUAGAUACCCUGGUAGUCCACGCCGUAAACGAUGAGUACUAAAUGUUGGGUAAAACCAGUGUUGAAGUUAACACAUUAAGUACUCCGCCUGAGUAGUACGUACGCAAGUAUGAAACUUAAAGGAAUUGACGGGACUCCGCACAAGCGGUGGAUCAUGUUGUUUAAUUCGAAGGUACCCGAAAAACCUCACCAGGUCUUGACAUGCUUCUGCAAAGCUGUAGAAACACAGUGGAGGUUAUCAGUUGCACAGGUGGUGCAUGGUUGUCGUCAGCUCGUGUCGUGAGAUGUUGGGUUAAGUCCCGCAACGAGCGCAACCCUUAUUGUUAGUUGCCAGCACGUAAUGGUGGGGACUUUAGCAAGACUGCCAGUGAUAAAUUGGAGGAAGGUGGGGACGACGUCAAAUCAUCAUGCCCCUUAUGACCUGGGCUACAAACGUGAUACAAUGGCUGUUACAAAGGGUAGCUGAAACGCAAGUUUUUGGCGAAUCUCAAAAAAACAGUCUCAGUUCGGAUUGAAGUCUGCAACUCGACUUCAUGAAGUUGGAAUCGCUAGUAAUCGCGAAUCAGCAUGUCGCGGUGAAUACGUUCUCGGGGUUUGUACACACCGCCCGUCA